AGUCAUUGGAGGGUCUCCUGCUGCCAUGGUAAUUGGAAUUUUUUUUUCUAAAAAGAACAGCUAUAUUGAGGUAUAGUUCACAUAGCAUAAACUGAGGGAGGAGAGCACUGUUACUACCAGGGCCAUAUCCGAGGAAACCCUGACUCAUUUGUUGCAUUGUCAACAUGCCACGGACUUCACGGGAUGUUCUAUGACGGGAACCACACAUAUCUCAUUGAGCCAGAAGAAAAUGACACUACUCAAGAGGAUUUCCAUUUUCAUUCAGUUUACAAAUCCAGACUGUUUGAAUUUUCCUUGGAUGAUCUUCCAUCUGAAUUUCAACAAGUAAACAUUACUCCACCAAAAUUUAUUUUGAAGCCAAGACCAAAAAGGAGUAAACGGCAGCUUCGUCGAUAUCCUCGUAAUGUAGAAGAAGAAACCAAAUACAUUGAACUGAUGAUUGUGAAUGAUCACCUUAUGUUUAAAAAACAUCGGCUUUCCGUUGUACAUACCAAUACCUAUGCGAAAUCUG
rnacentral:sRNA from 1 species